GACGAACGCUGGCGGCGUGCUUAACACAUGCAAGUCGAACGGAAAGGCCCUGCUUUUGUGGGGUGCUCGAGUGGCGAACGGGUGAGUAACACGUGAGUAACCUGCCCUUGACUUUGGGAUAACUUCAGGAAACUGGGGCUAAUACCGGAUAGGAGCUCCUGCUGCAUGGUGGGGGGUGGAAAGUUUCGGCGGUUGGGGAUGGACUCGCGGCUUAUCAGCUUGUUGGUGGGGUAGUGGCUUACCAAGGCUUUGACGGGUAGCCGGCCUGAGAGGGUGACCGGCCACAUUGGGACUGAGAUACGGCCCAGAGUCCUACGGGCGGCAGCAGUGGGGAAUAUUGCACAAUGGGCGGAAGCCUGAUGCAGCAACUCCGCGUGCGGGAUGUCGGCCUUCGGGGUGUAAACCGCUUUCGCCUGUGACGAAGAGUGAGUGACGGUAAUGGGUAAAGAAGCACCGGCUAACUACGUG
rnacentral:rRNA from 1 species